CACGUAGGGUGCGAGCGUUGUCCGGAAUUAUUGGGCGUAAAGAGCUCGUAGGCGGUGUGUCGCGUCGGCCGUGAAAACCUGCAGCUUAACUGUGGGCUUGCGGUCGAUACGGGCAGACUGGAGUACUGCAGGGGAGACUGGAAUUCCUGGUGUAGCGGUGGAAUGCGCAGAUAUCAGGAGGAACACCGGUGGGCGAAGGC
rnacentral:rRNA from 1 species